rnacentral:pre_miRNA from 1 species
GUGCUACUCCCUCCGUCCAGAAAUACUUGUCAUCAAAAUGAAUAAAAGGAGAUGUAUCUAGAUAUAUUUUAGUUCUAGAUACAUCCCUUUUUGUCCAUUUUGAUGACAAGUAUUUUCGGACGGAGGGAGUAUGCU